ACAUCUCUUUAGGAAUGCAAUUGUUACUUAUAAGCCAUUGCAAUCUCAUUUCAUUUUACAAUUUUUACUUAGCUAUUGUAGCCUAUGAUGUUAAUUUAAAAAUUUUCAAAUUUGUACUAAUAUAAUUACUGUUGUUAUUUCCCUUAGUGUUGCCUUCCUAUGUAUGGUGGAAGAAGCAUUUGGCCUUCACCUUCACCUUCACCUUCUUCUCUCCAUCAUAAUUUAUGUUACCUUAUGAGUUAAAGUUUGGACUGCUCUCUGUCUAUGAAGUUCUCUUUCAAUUUGCCAUUUAGGUUGCAGAGAUAAGAAAGGAAGGACCUUGCUAUUGUUGUGGUGUUACAAUUCUCUGAGAGUGAUCCUGGUGACCCUGAGCUUGAUAUGUCAUCUAUUUCCUCUUCACCACUAGCUGAAGAGUCAUCAAGUCCAACAACCUUUUCUCCAACUGCUAGUCUUUGGCUACCAUGAUCCAAGUCAACCGGCUUCACCUCAGAAGGAUUCCUAUGGGAUACAUUCCUAUCAGAAAGACCACAUGUUCAAAGUUGUUGAAGAUUGGCCACCAAAACUAAGCAUUUUGGAAGUCUUAUCUUUACGGUUGAUAUCAACAAGAAACAUUCAAUUGAAGAACGAGAAGGAAGACAAACAUGCAAAGUCUGAUAAAAGGUGGUCAAAAGCACUCACAUCUGACACCACAAUGGGAACACGACCCUUUUCUGCCCAUAAGAUCUGCUUGCUGAGGAUUCAGGUUCAAAUCAGGUUUGAGAAUGCUGCUGCUAACUGUUAAUCUUCCAAAAUUGUGGCCAAAAUUUAAAGCAUAUGAGUGGGAACACAAAGUAAUAACAAAAUUUAGUAGUCUAAGAGCUGGUCAUUUCCGUGGCAAUAGAUUAUAGCUUUGUCAUUAACUACAAUCCUAUCUGCAAUAGUACCAUACUCCACUUGGGACAGCUCAUCAAAAUUUUCUUAAAAAUUGACAUGAUAACUCCAACAGGUAGAACGUAAAAGCUCUUAGAUAUUGUAAAUCUUAGGAAUUAGGCCUUUUGUCUAUUAUUCAGGCCUUGUUAGCAAUGAAUCUGAAGGCAAGAAAGUCUUAAAGAAUGUUUUAAACUUGAUGAAACAUAUGGCUACACAAUUGAGCAAAUAAACAGAGGCUAAAUUGCUGAGCUUAAUAUUCUGGAAAUUAGAAUCAGAUAUAGAUUUGAAAAAUCCAAGGAGAAAGGCCCAAAAAUUACAUUACUAAGCAGAUUCAGAAAAGAAAUAAUGUAUUCAAUUUCAUUCCAAUUCUGGAAAUUAUGGCUCAGGUUUGAUUUGAAAAAUCCAAGGAGAAGGGGCCACAGGUUAAAUCACUAAGCAGAUUAAGAAAAGAAAGAAUGCAAAUUUCAUUCCAAUUCUUCUUUUCUGUACUUGUUUCUUCUUUGCUUAGUUUGCUUGGUGCACCGGGCUGCUCCUUUGUACUUGUUUCCCUUGCACCAAUACACAAGUUGAAAAAACCUGUCUGCCUAGUUUUAUGAUGGUCAGGUUGAGAGUCUGCAGGUCAGAAGUGAACUGGAUACAGUUCAAAUAGAGUUAGACACACAUUCAUAUUUGGUAAGGAGACCUCAUUUCUUGGGCACAUUCAGGAAACAUAGGAGUUGGUUCUAUCUGCAGUUUUUAGAAGUGCAUGUGUCUUAGUGACUUACAUAAUCAUUAGAACAUGAGGAAAUUUGAUCAUCCAUGUUGUUAUGUGCUCUCAGUAGGGAGGGAAAAUUGGAAACUAAUAUUACCCCGAAGCAUUGACAGCCCUGGCAAACUGGCAAAGUGUUGUCAAUUCAGUACCACAAAUUUGCCAUCUUUGUCAAUCUACAAUUCGGGUAAAUUCAUUAGAGGUGCUUUUUAUUUUACUAAAUAAAACCUCUAAUGAAUUUUGGUCUGUGUUAUUUUUAUAUUUAAUAAUAAAGUCUCAAUGAGCAGCUCUUUCUAAGUUGAAAGAUCCCCUAUAGCCAUUGGAGGGAGGUUUAGCAUUGUUUGGCAGACACUGUUAGAGCUAGUGAUGGCUCUCUUGCUUGGCCAACACAUCUACAACACAAUUUGGCCUCUCUAAGGCAACACCAUGAACCGUGUCUACCAAAAUCGAACUUUUGAAAUCCGUGGAGUAGCAGGCUGAGGGGUCUGGGAAAGUUACGCUUGAUAUAUGAUACUCGAAUCAUUUGCGUCCUUACAACCCAAGAGAGGACGAAAUGAAAAGAGGGACGAGGUCAAGGAAGGAACACGAGAAAGCGAGGAGUGUUGGAAUAGGGAUCAUUCAUGCCCUGAUGAAUUUUGUCAAUUGUCAUGUGUCCCUACAUGCCGGCUUGUCUGCUUAACAUCAACUAGUUGGCAUGACAAAAAGCAAUGGCACCAAUUGUCAAAAUAAGAGAUCAUUUCUAUGUGGCCAUACACAAGUACUGUUUCAAAUGAAAGGAACAUUUCAAAGAGACUUGUUAAAUCGUAAAUCAUUUCCCCCCAAACUCAUCUAAGCUAUCUAGCAGAACGAUUUAUACAUAGCAAACGAUAUCAGUUAAUAUAUACUCUAAUAUACUAGGUUAAACCAUUCACGACACCAACAGAGCGAUUUAUACAUAGCAAACGAUAUCAGUUAAUAUAUACUCUAAUAUACUAGGUUAAACCCUUCACGACACCAAGUACAGAAAUAUCUGCUUCCACAAUGCAGCAGUCUAAGAAAAGAAAGCUUUUCUUUGGAUCCCUCAAUUCACUUAGCGGCAUAAAUGCAUUCCAUCCCCAACUGGUUCCA